rnacentral:misc_RNA from 1 species
ACGGAAGAAGGGGAUUACCAGGUAAAACUACGCAACCUGGUACGUUUCCUAACCGAGGGGGACAAGGCCAAGGUCUCGUUGAGAUUCCGCGGCCGGGAGAUGGCCCACCAGGAGCUGGGCAUGGAGCUGUUGAAGCGGGUCGAAGCAGACCUCGUCGAACACGGCGCCGUUGAGCAGCAUCCUAAGAUGGAAGGACGUCAACUCAUCAUGGUCAUCGCCCCCAAGAAGAAAAAGUAACUACCAGGGCACUGGCAGGCCUUGCUGUUAUGCGUAAUCACUCAAUGCGGAGUAUCCGAACAUGCCAA